GUGUGUAUUUUUUUUCCAGUGAUCGUCUGUCAUCGGAUCUGAGGGAAACCUGUUCUAUCCACAAUAGUUAGCUAGCUACCAAGUCAUUACUUCAGAUUAACACUACACUACUAUCCAGCCAAAGUUCCUGAAUCCAACCGUCAUCUACCUUUGUGAAGUGAACUCUACAAUACCAUUAACAUUACUGGCUGACCAGAAAUAUGGAAGUGCAACACUCUGAUGAAUCAAGCCAUGACAGUCUUGAGGAGAUCGAGGACAUCUCAGACUCUGGCAGUGACUUUGAAGUCCAGCUGAAGGCCAUGAAGCGGAGAAAACAGACCACUGCACUACUAGGACCUCGGCCACCCAAGAGACCUAGGCGUAAAGCUGCAUCCCAGGCCAGCCCAAAUCCCAGCACCACCUCCACCCAACAAGCCCGUUCCCCUCAGCCACCGCAGCCUUCCCUGGGGAGAACUAGGCAGCUCGGCUCCCCCAGGCGAGAGAGAGAGAGGAGGGGGAACCAGGGCAUGAGCGCUGGGGAUAUGUAUGAGGCUGUGAGGUCUGGAAAGAGUGCUAUGGUGGCGGUGGUGGACGAGUGGCUAGACAGCUACAAGCAGGACCGGGAUGCGGGCCUACUAGAGCUCAUCAACUUCGUCGUUCAGUGCUGUGGCUGCAAAGGUGUGGUGAGCAGAGAGAUGUUUGACGGUAUGCAGAACGCUGAGAUCAUCAGCACACUGACCAAAGAGUUCAAUGAGGACUCUGUGAACUACCCCCUGUGCUCCCCUGGCCCACAGUGGCGUAAGUUCCGGGCUAGCGUGUGUGAGUUUGUGCAGGUGCUGGUGCGCUCCUGCCAGAACAGCUUUCUGUACGACGAGUACCUCUUCUCCGCCCUGCUGGCACUGCUCACCGGCCUGUCUGACUCCCAGGUCAGGGCCUUCAGACACACCAGCACCCUCAUCGCGAUGAAGCUGAUGACUGGUAUAGUGGAGGUAGCAGUGAUGGUGUUUGCCCAGAUUAAGACCACCCAGAGACGGUAUGACGCGGAGAGGAGCAAGGGUGCCGAACACAGAGCCUCAGAGAGGCUGGAGGAACUACAGGCCACCAUCAGCGAGCUGCGGGAGCACCAGGAGGAGCUGUCCUCCAUGAUGAAUGCUACGUUUCGGGGUGUGUUUGUGCACCGCUACCGGGACCGCGUAGCUGAGAUCAGGGCUGUAUGUAUCGAGGAGAUGGGCGUGUGGCUCCGAGAAAACCCUGGAGACUUCCUCAACGACGGAUAUCUCAAGUACCUGGGCUGGACCCUGCACGACAAGCAAGGCUCAGUGCGUCUGCAGUGUGUGCGGGCCCUGCAGGGCCUCUACAAGGAAAAGGACUUAAUUGGACGCCUAGAGCUUUUCACCAGCAGGUUUAAGGAGAGGAUGCUCUGCAUGGUGCUAGACAAGGACCCAGACGUGGCGGUGGAAGCUGUCCAGCUGCUGCUGCUCCUCCAACAAAGGACAGAGGAAGGCUUGUCCGAGGAGGAGUGUAGCCAUGUGUAUCCUUUGGUGUUUGCCUCCCGCAGAGGCCUGGCAUCUGCUGCUGGUGCCUUCCUCUACCACAAACUGUGUAGUGCGAUGAGCAGCGAGCCACAGGAGGCAGACAUGGGCAGUCGCCGGGCCGCCUUCUUCAACCUGCUGGUCUCCUUUUACAUCCAGAGUGAGUUCCAUGAGCACGGGGCCUACCUGGUGGACAGUCUAUGGGGUGUAGCAGGCGCUGAGCUGAGGGACUGGGACACCAUGACAUCACUGCUGGUACAGGAGGCUGACCAGGGACGAGGUCUGGUGGAUGAGGAGGAGGGGGCGUUGAUAGAGUUGAUGAUGUGUGCUGUCAGACAGGCAGCUGAAGGACACCCGCCUGUAGGAAGAGCUCAGGCAAAGAAGAUCCUGAGCAUGAAGGAUAAGAAGACUCAAGUCCAGGACAAGAGACGCAUCACCACCCAUUUUACCACCCUCCUGCCCCAGCUACUGGCCAAGUACUCGGCGGACGUGGAGAAAGUGACUUGCCUUCUGAAGGCUCCGCUUCAUUUUGACCUGGAGACCUACAGCAGCACUGGUAGACUGGAGAAGUAUCUGGAUCUGCUGCUGGCCCAGGUGUGUGGCAUCGUGGAGAAGCACACGGAGUCGGGUGUUUUGGAGGCAUGUGCUCGUGUGGCGUGUGCCCUCAGCCAGGACAAGUACACCUUCUCCGGCCGUGCCGACCUGGUCGUCAGCCAGCUACUGGACAGUCUGACCGACCGCUUCAGCUCCCACCUCAACGAGCUGCUGCAGGGCACUGCUGAUGAAGAUGAGGUGUACAGUGCUGCUACUGCCUUGAUGAGAAUUGCAGCCUUCACCAGUGCCAAGGACCUGACUUCAUGGAAGCUGUUUGAACCCUGCUUUCAGCUGCUGAAGAGUGGAGUGGAGUCCAGAGACAUCGACAAAGAGUGUUGUCCCAUGUCGUUUCAGCUGAUGGUUCCUGCUCUGAAGUGUGCAGCGUUCCACGUGCUCUGGGAGAAAGUCAGGGUGGCCAACUCUACACCAACCAAGGCAGAGGUAAAGCGUCUGAAGAAGGAGGUGUGUUCGUUCUGCAUCGUCUGUCAGAGCUGCCUGUCUGUGGGCCAGCCAGAGAUCAGGGACCAGGCAUUUGAGCUGCUGUGUGACAUGCUGCUGUUGUUUGGGGUGAGCUCAGUGAGGUCUCAGCCCACCUUGCAGCCCCUGGCCCACCCCCCCUCCGACUCCCUCCGCUUCGACAUGGCUGCCUUCCUCCUUGACUAUGUCUUCACUGAGCCUGACGACGACCAACUGUCCGGUGAGGCAGAGGGAGUUGAGGAGGUGAAGAUGGCUACUCUCCAGCGGCGGCGCAACCAGCUGGCCGGCUACUGUAAACUGGUUAUCUACGGUAUCCUGGAUCUCAGCACUGCCACUGAUGUCUUCAAAUACUACAGCAAGUUCUACAAAGACUAUGGUGACAUCAUCAAGGAGACUCUGAGCAAAACCAAGAUGAUCAGUCCAGUGCAGAGUGCCAAGACUGUCUGCCUGAGUCUGCAGCAGUUGUUCUCAGCACUGGCUCCAGAGUGCGUUGGUGGAGGCCAGGAGUUUGGGGAGAUCAGAGAGCUAGCUAAAAGGCUGGCCAUGAGCUUCGGCAUAGACCUGCACCGCAUCCGCAAACCAUUGGUGUCCCUGCACAUGGAUGGUAUCCGGUUUGCGUUACGGGAGGCAGCAGAGGUGGAGCAACCCCCCCCCAACCUGCCCUUCCUUGAGAUACUCAGCGAGUUCAGUUUCAAACUCCUACGUCAGGACCGAGCCCAGCUGUCUGCUUUCCUGAGUGCUGAGUGUGGCUCUGCUGCCCCCUCUUGGCCAUCUCUGAGGAUGUACCAGCGCUCUCUGCAGUCUGGCUCCUCCAAGCCCCGAGAGGAUGGGGAGAGGAGCGCAACGCUGUCCCCCCACAGCACCCCUGCAGCCAAACGCAGGAGGACUACCCCUCAGGGGUCAGUGUCCAGCGCUAGCAGAGGGCCAUGGCUGGACAGCAGCAGUAUCCAUAGCAACGUGGCCACCCCAGGUCUCACUUCCACCGUGCAGAGACAGCCGUCCAAGCACCUGCCCGUCACACAUAAUACACAGGCCUCCACCCCAGGCUCCGACAAGGGCAGCAUCAUCUCUGAACCCGAGUCUGAUGACGACUUUUCAGAGGGCGGCAUCCACAACAACCUGGCCACCCCAGGCCUCACCUCCACCGUGCAGAGACAGCCGUCCAAGCACCUGCCAGUCACACAUAAUACACAGGCCUCCACCCCAGGCUCCGACAAGGGCAGCAUCAUCUCCGAACCUGAGUCUGUUGACGACUUUUCAGAGGGUUCACUGCAGCGCAAGGUGGAACCCAGGCGAAGGAGCAAGCUGCCUAUUGCACAAGCCAGCCCCUCCUCUGGGCACUGUGACCUCGAAUCACAUCUCACCAUGUGUGCUGAGUCUGAUUGAGGAAGAUGAGGAUGAUGAAGUGGAGGAAGAAGAGCCUGAGAUUGAGGACUUCGAGAGUGACGAUUCUGACCACGACACCGACUUUACACUGCCGUCCACCCGUCGCUCCACCAGUUACUUAGAGGAGUUGUUUCAGUGAGGGAAAGGACCCCAACACAGUAACAAGAAGAACAACACUUAUAGGAGAAGAUAGUCUUACGUUGGUAUCCCUCAGACAGGCAUUUCAGGGUUAAGCAGUACAGUACAUAACGUUGUUACACUUGUAAGCUCUUAUUAUAAUUUUUUUGUUGAAUGAAUAAAAUACAAGUGCUUUACAUUAUGAAUGUUUCAAAGAUGCAAUGUGAAAAAUAUCUUCAUGGCUCAUAUAGGAAUUGUUAGACACAUGGUGUUUUUUUGUUUUUCUUGUUUAUGACUUUGUGGUUGUUUCCAACUGUUAAAUGAGCACUGAUUUAAUAUGUAUCAAUAAAGAACCAAUUUCUGAG